UCCGCCGGCCGGAUGCCGCCGCCCCCACUUGCCCACCUGCGCCAGGCUCACCUGCCACCGCGUCCUGGCGGCGUUCGCCGGUGCCCACAGCGCUGAGUGGCCACGAGGGGAUGGGUCUGCGGUGCUAGCGGCGGUUAAAAAAAAAAAAAAAAAAAAAAAUCUCGCCGGAAACACACGCACGAAUCCACGCUGUAAAUCAGCCCAGACAAGUCGACCCAGCUACACACCUAUUUCUAAUAGGCUCCAAAAAGUGUAAGGCCCAUCGGUCAGUUCGGCGGCAUCAGGCAGGAGAGAAGCGCCUAUCCUCAGCUGUGGCCGCUCCUCCCUUUCUCUGGAUGAAAACCCCUCCCCCUCCUCUCCCCCGAUUUGGGGAAAGCUUCUACCUUCUGCCCGGAUUUGGGCGGGGGAUAGAGCACAGCUGAGAGGUGCUGGAAGAAGAGCCACUCCAAGGCACAGCUUCAGAAAUCCAUCUCCCUGGGCAGCCCUUCGCCAAGGUGCCCGCUCUGAGGAAACUUUGAGGGGAGGCAGCGGCAGCCGAGGGGGCUGAGCGGGCGGCCGGCGGCGGGCGCCAGGUGAGGAGCCUGCGAGGACGCGGCUGCAAGGAGGUGGGACGCCAGGCAGGCGGGCGGCAGGCGGCUGGGUCCCGGCGACCGGGCUCGGCGCGCGGGCUGCGCACACACACCCCCGCGCGCGCGCGCAGCAACACACGCACGCCCAGCCCCGCGCCGGCGGCCCCAGGCCACUGGCGAGCGAGAAGUCGCGAGGAGCGAAGCGGGGCAGGGGCUCCCCGGAUGCAGGAGACGGGGAGACUCAGUCACUCCUCCCUAGUUAGCGGAUUGCUGCUGGCAGGCAGUUCCUCGCCGCCAGCCCUCAAGUGCGUUCGGCCGCCUCUCUGGUCCCUGCCCUCCCAGGUAUCUCGGCUCCCAGCCUCUUUUCCUCGAAGCCAGUUACUCUCCGGGCAGCCUGCGUGAGGUCGCCGGACUAAAGAUUAACCCGGUCCCGGUCUCCACCCUCCAGAUCCACCUCCGCCCCUUUCGCGGAGCACUGAAGUGGCUGCCGCAGCCAGCGAGGGAGCCGAGGGGCUCCCCGAGGUCUUUCGAAUAGAGGAGCCAACGCAUAUUUUCCUGGAAUAUACAGUCCCCUCUCAUGCCCCCUUUCCUGCGUACUCCAUCACGUAACAUUUUCCCAGGAGCCCCUGAAACUCAGGUAGAUUUUUCAAAAAGGAACUGCCCAGGGAUUUGUGACGCCCAGCUUUUGGAACCGGGCUAAUGCACUGUCUACGCUUAUAUUGUAAAGUGGACGGUAGCAGGUGAAGGGCUCAGCUGGAGAAAGGGAGGGAUUAGGAGUCUGGAGACUCAGCCCCUUUAGCAGCCAUUUCCGACGUUUGGCACCAAGUGUAGGUGUCCUGCUCUCGGUCUAGCUCCUUUCCCAACUUCUGCCUCUUCUCUGACAGCCGGGAAGGAUCACUGGGUGCCACCCAGCUGGGGAGCCCCAAGCCGGAGACACUCCUCUCUCAGAACAGCCCCAGGCUCUUUCACUCCUCCCCGGAGAAGGAGACUCCCAGCGGGAGGGAGUUUGUCUUACCCAGACUGGGAUUCUGGAAUUGCUCUCCGAAAGUAAACUUUUACCCUCCGGGUUUUUGGGGGUUUUUUUUGUUUGUUUGUUUCUUGGUAUUUUUUUUUUAACCGUGGCUCGCCUUUGUGCUCUGGAAGGUCGCUACACCAGCAGAGCGUUACUCUGCCAUCCCAAGGGCUGGCCAGGCCGAGGACUGCUGUGGGUUUUUUCACUCCAGAGCUUCGAGAAUCUCUGCAGCUUGGGACCUGACGGAAGGAAACACAAAAAGUUGCGCAGCGAGGAGAUGGCGCGAGCUUCUCUUGCCCCCACUCUGGGCGCCUGGCUCCGCCAAGGUCUCCCUUCAGGUAGCUCUUGCCUGGCUCUGGGAAUCCGCUUCGAGUUGAAAGGCAGCCGACUUUGCCGGGAAGACAGUGCAUGAAUGCCAAAGCCGAAGGUACAGUUGCCGAGGCGCAAAAGUGGAACAAGUGGAUGAUUUGGUGCAAAAGAUGAAACUUGUGUUGAUAGGAGUCCUAGCGGCGCUACUCACAGCUCAGAAAUCCAUCCAGAGCGUUCGAAGGUGAGCCUUGCCGCGCGCAGAGUCUGUGGACCAAUAGCUACCAAUUUCAGGAAAGAACCUGCUUUGGAUUCGGUUUGAGCCGACCCUGGAGGAAGCAGAGACCAAGGGAGACUGUCCAUUUGAGAGGGUGAUGGAUCAUUCGAUGCUGUCCCUCGGAACCAGGGAACCUCUGGCAACACCUUCUCGCUAACUUGCGUCUGUGCAAAAGGCUACUCACACAGUCACGCUUGGGGAAUCGCAGCUUGCAGGUCCCACGCACUGGCUUCCCUUCUGAUGCAGUUAAGAGAAAAGCUUGAAGCUCAACCCGGGAGCCUGCAUGAAGAAGUCAAUAAUGAAUUUGGUGGUGAGAUACUAAAGGAUAAAGAGGCGUUUAAUUUCUGUGUGAAUUAGUUUGCCCGGAGCGACUUUUUAGGUUUAGUAUUCCAAGAUGUAUCACGGACAGACACCGACUUUUUGCAGAAUUGCAAGUGGAGGAUGUUCCCAGUGUUUUUUAACCCGGUGUAAAUCUGUACAUUGUCAGCUUGCCACAAGGUUGGAUGCUCCUAGGAGUUUUGAUUCUCACUCAUAAUUAAUAAGUGCUAAUCGACUGUUUCUGGUAAUGAAGUGAAGUGGCAGUAAUAGUUAUAAUGAACUAUUUCCGACAAAGGCCAUCUAGCUUGUGAGUUCUGUUGACAUAAGCCUACAGAUUAAUAAUAAAAUACUGUGGCUAUUAGACAAGAAUUGCAGAACUUAGUGGAGGGACUUAGUGGAGGGACUUGAAAGAAAAUUUGGAAUUCAGAGUUUACUCCUCUUCAUAAAGAUUCUGGCUUGUAAUUCCUUUCCUGGUUGCUGUUUUUGUGCAGGCUGCUGUCUGCUACUAAAGGGCUCUCUUUAAAAUAAGUAAACAGGACUUUUACACAUUUCGUACCUGAAAAGUUGUCUUACAGUUUUGGAAAAUGUUGUGGAAGGUCCGAGGAGUAUUUUUCACUUACCUUGAGCUUUUGAUUUACAAGAUGUGUAGGCAACAGUGGUAGUCAGAGGUAUGAUAUUCUUGAUAUUUAAGCACCUUCAAUGAAAUAAAAAGGUCUGUGGAUUUAUGGACUCUUCAAGAAGCAUUCACUUCUCCUCAAAAAGUGCAGUUUCCUCAAUGACUUGAUUAUUGCAAAACCAAACUCACAUUUAUUGUUAUACAAAAAACAAAAAACAAAACAGGAUGUGAGGGUGUGAAUCACUUUUCCCUCCCACUUUUCACACUAUGCUUUUAUGAGGAAAAAUAGUUGACAAUAAACAAAAGAAUCAAAUCUCAAGGUCAGUGGAUUCACUUCAUUCCCUAUACUUCAGAUGAGUCUACAUUAUCAAGAAAAAAUUAUUGAGGCUCAAAGGUACUACAGGAGCCCUCCGAAUCCCACCAGUAAAUUCAAAUAACUACUUCAUUGUUCCGGUGUUAUAUAUUUCCCUAUAUUCUGUGACAAGUGAAAAUUGAAGUUGGUAUAUGGUAUCUCUUCCAGUGAAGACUUUCUUGAACCUUUUAUUUCUUUGAGAUAAUUGCUGGGGAAAAUGUAUUUUCAGAUCACUUUUCUUCCCAGGAGAUAGCAUUUAAUCUACUGGUGUAUUGCUUGUUAUAAAUUAAAGUUAUUCUUUGCUUACUGGCAUGCCUUUCCCACUGUACUAUAAGCCCCAGGAGCAAGGAUGGUGUUGUAUACAUUGCUGUCCCCCAACAUCCAGUACAGAAUCUAUCUCAGAAUAGAUGCAUAUGAUAAUGUUGGGGAUGAUAAUGAAAGCUACCAUUUACUGAGUAACUAUUAUAUGAUGUGAUUGAGGUACAUUUUCUCAGUUGAUCCUCUUUAUAACCCUCUGGUCUAAAUUGUAUAUUCUCAAAUUGUGGGGAAAUUGAUGCAUAUGUAAAUUUAUCCAAGAUCACAAAGCUAUUUUCACAAACGAGGUGGGAUUAGAAUCUAUAUGCGCUUGACUCUGAAGCCUGGACUAUUAACAACUUUGCUCUAUUCAAAUAGCCAGGCACCACAUGUUCUAUAUAUAUAUAUAUAUAUAUAUAUAUAUAUAUAUAUAUAUAUAUAUGUAUGUAUUUAAUGUGGAAUAUAAGAAUAUGUCAAAUUUAGAAUAAAUUCCUUAGCACUAAUGCAAUAUAAUCAAUAUCAGUUUAAGUGUGGAACAUUGAAACAGUGUAGUUCUCAUGUUAAAAUAUGAUACUGUCUUCUAGGAAUUAUUGCCACAAGAAUGUCAAAUAUAAGUUUUGUUUUGUUUUUA